CGCCUUAUACAUGCAAGUCGAACGAAGUAGCAAUACUUAGUGGCAGACGGGUGAGUAACAUGUAGGUAUCUUCCCUUUGGUGAGGAAUAACACGAGGAAACUUGUGCUAAUACCUCAUAAGUCUUUACGGAGAAAGCUUUAUGCGCCGAAGGAUGAGCCUGCACUUGAUUAGUUUGUUGGUGGGGUAAUGGCCUACCAAGACUUUGAUCUAUAGCUGAUCUGAGAGGAUGAUCAGCCACAUUGGGACUGAGACACGGCCCAAACUCCUACGGGAGGCAGCAGUAGGGAAUAUUGCACAAUGGAGGAAACUCUGAUGCAGCGAUGCCGCGUGAGUGAAGAAGGCCUUUGGGUUGUAAAGCUCUUUCGUCGGGGAAGAAAAUGACUGUACCCGAAUAAGAAGGUCCGGCUAACUUCGUGCCAGCAGCCGCGGUAAUACGAAGGGACCUAGCGUAGUUCGGAAUUACUGGGCUUAAAGAGUUCGUAGGUGGUUAAAAAAGUUGGUGGUGAAAUCCCAGAGCUUAACUCUGGAACUGCCAUCAAAACUUUUUAGCUAGAGUAUGAUAGAGGAAAGCAGAAUUUCUAGUGUAGAGGUGAAAUUCGUAGAUAUUAGAAAGAAUACCAAUUGCGAAGGCAGCUUUCUGGAUCAUUACUGACGCUGAGGAACGAAAGCAUGGGUAGCGAAGAGGAUUAGAUACCCUCGUAGUCCAUGCCGUAAACGAUGUGUGUUAGACGUUGGAAAUUUAUUUUCAGUGUCGCAGCGAAAGCGUUAAACACACCGCCUGGGGAGUACGACC
rnacentral:rRNA from 1 species